rnacentral:rRNA from 1 species
GAUGAACGCUAGCGGCAGGCUUAACACAUGCAAGUCGAGGGGUAUAGUUCUUCGGAAUUAGAGACCGGCGCACGGGUGCGUAACGCGUAUGCAAUCUACCUUUCACAGAGGGAUAGCCCCAGAGAAAUUUGGAUUAAUACCUCAUAGUAUAGCAGUUUCGCAUGAAACCACUAUUAAAGUCACAACGGUGAAAGAUGAGCAUGCGUCCCAUUAGCUAGUUGGUAAGGUAACGGCUUACCAAGGCAACGAUGGGUAGGGGUCCUGAGAGGGAGAUCCCCCACACUGGUACUGAGACACGGACCAGACUCCUACGGGAGGCAGCAGUGAGGAAUAUUGGACAAUGGGCGCAAGCCUGAUCCAGCCAUGCCGCGUGCAGGAUGACGGUCCUAUGGAUUGUAAACUGCUUUUGUACAGGAAGAAACCCUUUCACGUGUGGAAGAUUGACGGUACUGUAAGAAUAAGGAUCGGCUAACUCCGUGCCAGCAGCCG